rnacentral:rRNA from 1 species
CGGGUGAGUAACACGUGGGUAACCUGCCUGUAAGACUGGGAUAACUCCGGGAAACCGGAGCUAAUACCGGAUAGUUCCUUGAACCGCAUGGUUCAAGGAUGAAAGACGGUUUCGGCUGUCACUUACAGAUGGACCCGCGGCGCAUUAGCUAGUUGGUGGGGUAAUGGCUCACCAAGGCGACGAUGCGUAGCCGACCUGAGAGGGUGAUCGGCCACACUGGGACUGAGACACGGCCCAGACUCCUACGGGAGGCAGCAGUAGGGAAUCUUCCGCAAUGGACGAAAGUCUGACGGAGCAACGCCGCGUGAGUGAUGAAGGUUUUCGGAUCGUAAAGCUCUGUUGUUAGGGAAGAACAAGUGCGAGAGUAACUGCUCGCACCUUGACGGUACCUAACCAGAAAGCCACGGCUAACUACGUGCCAGCAGCCGCGGUAAUACGUAGGUGGCAAGCGUUGUCCGGAAUUAUUGGGCGUAAAGGGCUCGCAGGCGGUUUCUUAAGUCUGAUGUGAAAGCCCCCGGCUCAACCGGGGAGGGUCAUUGGAAACUGGGAAACUUGAGUGCAGAAGAGGAGAGUGGAAUUCCACGUGUAGCGGUGAAAUGCGUAGAGAUGUGGAGGAACACCAGUGGCGAAGGCGACUCUC